GCAGUGUAGCACUCGCGCCCUUGGGGGCUAGCGUUUGGCCGGAGCUACACACUCUUUACUCACGCACGCACACCGCCGUACACAGCACAAUCGUUCACCGUCCCGCCAAAGGCUCGUCUCUCGGGUUCUGCCUAGUGGAAGGAGUCGGACAACGCCGCACGUCACGGGCGUUUCGGAUUUCUUGCUUCCCAAAGGUUUGACGGCGGCCACCGGCGCCCCGGCCCAGCUCUGCUUUCCUUUGCUGACUCCUUCCUUUAGGUGUGAAUUUUAAAAUGCUGAUACCGCCCCAAGAGAGCUGAGUCAAGUGAGGCAAACGUUCGCCUGUUGUUCUCCUGACAGACUCCCUGCAGUGGGCAGGGGAAAUGUGGCCUUGGCCGACAUUAAUGAAGUGCCAGGAUGGAGGGAGGGGGCCUGCUGAUUUGUUCUGUUUUACUUUUUAAGGGUAACUAGAGCGUUACUGGAGUCGUCUGUGGGUUUGGGGAGUAUGUGGCGCGUGUGUGUGUCACACAUUUCACUGGCAACUCCCGCCAACCCCUUCCCAAGAAAUGAAGGCUCUAAUGUGGGCAGUUCUGCAACAAAGGUGAAACUUCCCCAAAUCACGAUUCCCCGCAAGAUGAGAGAGCAGGUGCAGCAUCCAUUUUCCCACUAUCACGCUUGAGAUGGUGGCUUUGGGCACUGCCGGGUGCCCCGACAUCCUUCCCAGAGCCCAGCCUUCCCACCCAGGCCCGGCCCUGCGCGGCCGCCUGCCUUUGCAUCAGAGACCGCGGCUGUGCCAUUGCCAAGGUGGGCAGCGCCGCCUCGCUUCCCCAUUCCUCCGUCUCCCACGCCUCUUGCGUGUUUGAGUCGCGAAGUGAUGGACUUUAAAUCUCAGAGGAGGAAUGAGAAACUUGGUUAGUGGCUCUCUUGGCAUGUUCGUAGCCCUGUGGUUGAAGUGGCUGAAACCUGCGUUGAGCCUCAGUCCAAGCAGCUGGGGCCACACCAGUUUGCAAAAGCGGAUGUGGCAGUUUCCACCGCAGCAGCAGCCUGCUGGCGCCUCAUCAGAUUCUCCUUUGGAGGAAGUAUCUUCUUCCCUUCAUUCUCGGUGAAUGGCAUCCAGAGAUAACCAAAAUCAGGUGUAUCUAGUUUCAAGUUCUGUCUUGCAACCGUGAUAAUUGGAGGAUGCAAACUUUACACUUUCUUCUCUAGCUGUCUACCACCACUGCUGCGCUUGUGGAUGACUGCAGGAACACCGGGUACUUGCCACAAGUAUCUCUCCAGAUUCAUCAGCCUUUCACCUGUGACAAGCUCAGUCAAGAAGUGGCUCCUAAGUAAAAGCUGGGGAAGAACAAGGAAGAUAGAGCUCAGAGUAGAAAGCUGUGAAGUUCUGCACAACAGGUCCCCUUGGCCUGCUCUAACAGUUGGAAGGUGGGGGAAGCAUUCAUUUACUCAACAAAUAUAUACUGAGUGCCUUUUGCAUGCUAGGCACGCUUCUAGGGGUUGAGGACACAGCAGAGAGCACAAACAACAAUUCCAGCCCUCGUGGAGCUUACCUCUUCCACGUGGGAAAGACAGAUGGUAAAUGUAUAAGGACAAUAUAUGGACUGCUGUAUGAUUAGAAAUGCUAUGGAGAGGCUAGGAGUGCUGUCUCAUGCCUGUAAUCCCGCAGUUUGGGAGGCCAAAGGAGGAGGAUCACUUGAGGCCAGAAGUUGGAGACCCAACCUGGGCAACAUAACAGGCAUGGUAGCUCAUGUGGAAGCUUCCCGAGGCCCUCACCCAGAAGCAGAUGCUGGAGCCAUGCUUGUACAGCUUGCAGAACUGGCAACUUGUAUUGUAGGAAUCAUCAGGCAAUAAGAUGCAGGGAAAACUCUGGAUACUGCAUACCCAAAGUUGAAUACAUUUUUCUUCUUUUUGAAACUUUUAAUACACAUAAAGACAAGUGCACGUAUUAUAAGUAUAUAGUUCAGUUUAUUUCGACAACCUGAAUAAACCCAUGUAAUCAGCACCCAGAUCAGGAAACAGAAUCUGGAAGCUUCCUUGUGUCCCCUUCCAACCACUAUUUCCCCUCAAAGUUAAUCCUGACUUCUAACUGCAUAGAUUUGUCUUGUCUAUUUUUGUACUUUAUAUAACUAGAAUAAUAGAAUAGAUACUCUUUUGUAUCUGU
rnacentral:lncRNA from 1 species